UAAUACAUGCAAGUCGAACGAAGUAGCAAUACUUAGUGGCAGACGGGUGAGUAACAUGUAGGUAUCUACCCUUUGGUCUGGAAUAACACGAGGAAACUUGUGCUAAUACCGGAUAAGUCUUUACGGAGAAAGCUUUAUGCACCAUUGGAUGAGCCUGCACUUGAUUAGUUUGUUGGUGGGGUAAUGGCCUACCAAGACAAUGAUCAAUAGCUGAUUUGAGAGGAUGAUCAGCCACAUUGGGACUGAGACACGGCCCAAACUCCUACGGGAGGCAGCAGUAGGGAAUCUUGCACAAUGGAGGAAACUCUGAUGCAGCGAUGCCGCGUGAGUGAAGAAGGCCUUUGGGUUGUAAAGCUCUUUCGUCGGGGAAGAAAAUGACUGUACCCGAAUAAGAAGGUCCGGCUAACUUCGUGCCAGCAGCCGCGGUAAUACGAAGGGACCUAGCGUAGUUCGGAAUUACUGGGCUUAAAGAGUUCGUAGGUGGUUAAAAAAGUUGGUGGUGAAAUCCCAGAGCUUAACUCUGGAACUGCCAUCAAAACUUUUUAGCUAGAGUAUGGUAGAGGAAAGCAGAAUUUCUAGUGUAGAGGUGAAAUUCGUAGAUAUUAGAAAGAAUACCGAUUGCGAAGGCAGCUUUCUGGAUCAUUACUGACACUGAGGAACGAAAGCAUGGGUAGCGAAGAGGAUUAGAUACCCUCGUAGUCCAUGCCGUAAACGAUGUGUGUUAGACGUUGGAAAUUUAUUUUCAGUGUCGCAGCGAAAGCGAUAAACACACCGCCUGGGGAGUACGACCGCAAGGUUAAAACUCAAAUGAAUUGACGGGGACCCGCCCAAGUAGUGGAGCAUGUGGUUUAAUUCGAAGAUACGCGCAGAACCUUCCAACACUUGACAUGUUCGUCGCGACUCUAAGAGAUUAGAGUUUUCGGUUCGGCCGGACGAAACACAGGUGCUGCAUGGCUGUCGUCAGCUCGUGUCGUGAGAUGUUGGGUUAAGUCCCGCAACGAGCGCAACCCUCACUUUUAGUUGCCAUCAUUUAGUUGGGCACUCUGAAAGAACUGCCAGUGAUAAGCUGGAGGAAGGUGGGGAUGACGUCAAGUCCUCAUGGCCCUUAUGUGUUGGGCUACACACGUGCUACAAUGGUAUCUACAAACAGGAAGCAAGAUGGCAACAUUAAGCAAAUCCCAAAAAGAUACCUCAGUUCGGAUUGCACUCUGCAACUCGAGUGCAUGAAGCUGGAAUUACUAGUAAUCGUGGAUCAGCGUGCCACGGUGAAUACGUUCCCGGGUCUUGUACACACCGCCCGUCACACCAUGGGAGUUGGUUCUACCUUAAGGCAAAGUUUAAAACCUUUGAACACGGUAUAGUCAGCGACUGGGGUG
rnacentral:rRNA from 1 species